UUAAAUUGAAGAAUUUGAUCAUGGCUCAGAUUGAACGCUGGCGGCAGGCCUAACACAUGCAAGUCGAACGGUAACAGGAAGCAGCUUGCUGCUUUGCUGACGAGUGG
rnacentral:rRNA from 1 species